rnacentral:tRNA from 3 species
GCGCAUGUGGCGUAAUUGGCAGCCGCGCCAGACUUAGGAUCUGGUGCCGAAAGGCGUGGGGGUUCGAGUCCCUCCAUGCGCA